GAGACGGCUAGGGACAGGGAGCCGUGGCUGAGAAAAGGGUAACAUGCUUCCUCUCCUUCCUGGCGAAGCGUGAGAGCCAGUGAUGUGCAGGGAGAAACUCAGAAGGCUCGGCGCCUUUUCUGCUACUCAUCCCACAGAAGAAACACAAUGCCAGAGGAAAGAGCGCUGCUUCCCAAACUCGCGGGACCGGGGGUGUGACAAGAACGCCUCGGAAAGGCUAGAUUUGAGCCCAAGGUAGAGACAGGGGCCAUAGCUGCUAGUAGGAGUCUUAGCUUUCUUGGGAAAAAGAAAGAAAAAAAAUUAAGAUGGUGAAAAAUGCUUGCCAUCCUGCAGGAUUGAAUUAUCAACGUUUGGGAGAAGUGAAAGAGGGCAUAGGGCUGCCAGGCAGGACCGCAGCUGGGAGGGGCCCAGCCCUGGGGCCUCCCCACACCUAUCUUCUUGGAAGGAGCUGGAUGUUGCUGAAGCAAAGUUGAAAAAUGAAAAAGGAUAACCUUUUCCCUUUCCCCAUCCAGGAAAUAGCUGAAGGAGGCCCUACACCCGAACUGAGCCCACCCUGCUCAGGGGAAGACCUGACGGGUGCUAAGGCCACCUGGAAUGCCAAGUCCGAGUUGUAUUUCUUAAAGAGAUCGAGUGGAUGAGGCUGUGACAUUGGCCCCUGCCGACUGGUUUCCCACGAGCUGUUCUUUCUCAGGAGCUCCACAAAGCGGAGCCAUCUCCAGAAAGCAAUCUUCAGUAUGUAUUUCCUUUUAUCCUCAACCCAGAGCCCCACGGCAGCUAAUGCAAAAGGCCAAAAAUGUUUUGGAGGAAGAAAAACAAAGGCAGGAAGUGGCGGCGGCCUGACGGUGCGUGUGUGUCUGCGGAGAAGGGAGGGAGCCGUUUCAAUCUCUUCUUGUUGUUUUUCCAAACUUCAAGGUCUAGGCAGCCCUCGCAGGGCCGGGCCCUUUCGUUCCCCAAGCCGCGUUUGGAGAUGGCCACCCGGAGAGGAGAAGGCUGGCGCCCCCGCAUCAGCGUGGUCAGGCGGAAACGGCUAAGGAGGCGAUUUGCUCAGCAAAGCAGACCGAGCCUUUGCAAGGCUCCGUGUGAUUUGGUCUUAAAUGGGGGGGGGGUGGGGGGUGGGGGUUGAGGGGUUCGGCAGCACCUCCCGGAUCCUCCUGCUGGGGCUGAAUGCAUCUUGGUGCAGAUGAUUCCUGCGUCCUACACUCCACCCACCUCCCCAGGCAGGAUACUGGAAUAAAUUGUGUCCAGGUGCCUCUGCCCAGCA